rnacentral:rRNA from 1 species
UUGAACGCUGGCGGCAUGCCUUACACAUGCAAGUCGAACGGUAGAGGGGCAACCCUUGAGAGUGGCGAACGGGUGAGUAAUGCAUCGGAACGUGCCCAGUCCCGUGGGGGAUAACGCAGCGAAAGCUGUGCUAAUACCGCAUGUGAUCUGUGGAUGAAAGCAGGGGACCGCAAGGCCUUGUGCGAUUGGAGCGGCCGAUGUCAGAUUAGCUAGUUGGUAGGGUAAAAGCCUACCAAGGCGACGAUCUGUAGCUG